rnacentral:rRNA from 1 species
GGCGAACGCUGGCGGCGUGCCUAAUACAUGCAAGUAGAACGCUGAAGGAGGAGCUUGCUUCUCUGGAUGAGUUGCGAACGGGUGAGUAACGCGUAGGUAACCUGCCUGGUAGCGGGGGAUAACUAUUGGAAACGAUAGCUAAUACCGCAUAAUAGUAGAUGUUGCAUGACAUUUGCUUGAAAGGUGCAAUUGCAUCACUACCAGAUGGUCCUGCGUUGUAUUAGCUAGUUGGUGGGGUAACGGCUCACCAAGGCUACAAUGCUUAGCCGACCUGAGAUGGGGAUGGGCCACACUGGAACGGAGACACGGCCCUGACUCCCGACGGGAGGCAUUAUUGGGGAAUCUUCGGAGAUGGACGGAAGUCUGACCGAGCCACCCCCCCGGGGGUGAAGAGGGUUUUCGUUGCGUAAAUGUUGUGUUUAUAUUCAUAGAACGAGUAGAACAGGGGAAAUUGAUGUGUGUCUUGAUCUUAUCGUGAAAUGGACUGUGUAUUUGUGUUGUUUGUGGUGGGAUUCUGUGGUGCCAAUUGCUCACGAGUGUUGUGUGGUGUGUGUGAUGCUUGGUUGUUUGUGGUGGUGAAGUGUGAUGAUGGUGCUCACCUAGUGUCGUUUGUGUCGAUGUUGAUUGUUGUGAGGGUGUGGUGUUGUAGUUCGUGGUGUGUGUGCUCGGAUGUGCAUUGAUAUACUAGCGCUACGUGACGUGGCUGCAUUGUAGUUUUAUGUGCGUGUUGCUGUGAGUUUGGUCGCUUGUUGUUCGUAUUGUGUACGUGUAAGAAUGUCGUGCUAGUCGUGCAUGCUGUGGUGGUUGAAGUUAUAACAUAGUAGUGGAAUAUGUACACGCUCGAGCUGCGUGCCCAGUGAUAGACAGAGAACAGAGUAGUGAGGGUUUGUGUAGUAGGACAGCAGAGCAGAGUUGCGGGUGUAGAUUGCCUAGUAGAUCAGAUAUAGU